rnacentral:rRNA from 1 species
UACGAAGGGGGCUAGCGUUGCUCGGAAUCACUGGGCGUAAAGGGUGCGUAGGCGGGUCUUUAAGUCAGGGGUGAAAUCCUGGAGCUCAACUCCAGAACCGCCUUUGAUACUGAAAGUCUUGAGUAUGGGAGAGGUGAGUGGAACUGCGAGUGUAGAGGUGAAAUUCGUAGAUAUUCGCAAGAACACCAGUGGCGAAGGCGGCUCACUGGCCCAUUACUGACGCUGAGGCACGAAAGCGUGGGGAGCAAACAGG